UCCCUGGAGGACUAGUGGUUAGGCCACAGCGCUCUCACUGCUGUGGCCUGGAUUCGAUUCCUGGCCAGGGAA
rnacentral:tRNA from 1 species